rnacentral:rRNA from 1 species
UAAGGAAUAUUGGUCAAUGGACGCAAGUCUGAACCAGCCAUGCCGCGUGAAGGAUGAAGGUCCUCUGGAUUGUAAACUUCUUUUAUCUGGGACGAAAACGGGAUUUUUAUCUCAAUUGACGGUACCAGAGGAAUAAGCACCGGCUAACUCCGUGCCAGCAGCCGCGGUAAUACGGAGGGUGCGAGCGUUGUCCGGAUUUACUGGGUUUAAAGGGUGCGUAGGUGGGCUUAUAAGUCAGUGGUGAAAUCUCCGAGCUUAACUUGGAAACUGCCGUUGAUACUAUAGGUCUUGAAUUAUCUGGAGGUCAGCGGAAUAUGUCAUGUAGCGGUGAAAUGCUUAGAUAUGACAUAGAACACCAAUUGCGAAGGCAGCUUACUACAUAUAAAUUGACGCUGAGGCACGAAAGCGUGGGGAUCAAACA